rnacentral:tRNA from 1 species
GGAGCUGUGCCUGAAAUCUAAGGACCACUUUGAUAGAGUGAACCAUGUGGGUUAAAACCCCUCCAACUCCU